CCUACGGGAGGCAGCAGUAGGGAAUCUUUCACAAUGGGCGAAAGCCUGAUGGAGCAACGCCGCGUGCAGGAUGAAGGCCUUCGGGUUGUAAACUGCUUUUAUAAGCGAGAAAUAUGAUGGUAACUUAUGAAUAAGGAUCGGCUAACUACGUGCCAGCAGCCGCGGUCAUACGUAGGAUCCGAGCAUUAUCCGGAGUGACUGGGUGUAAAGAGUUGCGUAGGUGGCAUAAGAAGUAGCUAGUGAAAUCUGGUGGCUCAACCAUUCAGACUAUUAGCUAAACUGUUAAGCUCGAGACCGUUAGGGGUAACUGGAAUUUCUAGUGUAGGAGUGAAAUCCGUAGAUAUUAGAAGGAACACCAAUAGCGUAGGCAGGUUGCUGGGACGGUUCUGACACUAAGGCACGAAAGCGUAGGGAGCAAACGGGAUUAGAUACCCGAGUAGUC
rnacentral:rRNA from 1 species